AGUGGAGCUCAUUGGUUAAAAUGUUGGAUUAUUGAUCAGAAGGUCAUGAGUUCAAAUCCCAGCACUA